rnacentral:lncRNA from 1 species
CAUCUAAUGUAUGUAUUAAACAAUAGAUCAGAUCUAUUACCUUGCAAGUUAGAUAUUCUAACCUUGUUGAUCUGGGCUUGAGAAUGAUGUUGCAAGCCGCACAUGCAUCCGGCCUCUAGGAGUCGUCCACACGAGCCCACGAAUCUCAAUCAGAAGUCCUGCUUCAGGAAAUCAGCACAGUAUGCUAGUACUGCGCUGAUCCUUCUUUGAUGGUUGAUCAGGUGCCUCCUUCUUCUUGAUUUAGACUCUUCUAAAGAUGAAAAGUAGAAGGAGGAGUUUCAAAUCUGAACACUCUUAGGAAACUCAAGAUGGAGGGAGGAAAGAUAUGAAAACAAAAACCCUAGAAGAAGACCCUCUUCUUCUUCACGUUUUUCUCUCUAGACACCCAAACUUGCAUCUUUUAUAUCUCCACUACCCAAAGGUAUUUAUCUCUAAUUUUUGGAUGGAACAAAGGUCUCUCAAAUCUAUGACUUCUCCUAAAGUUUUAUGAAGAAACUCAUCUUAUAUAGAGAGAUAUGAUAGAGUCCUUGUCUAGGUCAAACACCUAGUCAAGGCUUAUCCAAACAUGGCAAGUUAAGGGACGCCCAACUCUUGAGCACCUCCUUCAUAUUUUCAUGCACGGAUCACCAGAAAAGGAUAUACAAUGUAUACCCUAAAAGUCACAAAAAUUCCAAAAAAAAAUUUGAUAAAUUCGGUGCAAAAUUGAAAGAGUUUUGGAUUUCUAAAACUCUAUCUCAUAGAAUUCGAAAUCCAAACUUAUUCCUUUUAGAUUUGAUCCAAACCACCUUCCAUGUAAGAAAGAAGAGAGGAGACCUUUUGUAAACAUGGGAGAGACCUGGGAGAGGGCUUUUGUCGCACAAAAUAAGUGGAGAUU